UGCAGGUUCAUUAACGAGGCCGGCGGGAACGAGGAUUGGCUUGUCCACUGUGUUAACUGGACUGGAGGAGAAAAGGAAAAGUCAGAAAACAGAGAGCAGCAUUUGGUACAGACAACUUUCCCAGGGUUCUGCUGGCCCUGCCGUGGGGCAUGAGGUGUCUGCCUCUCCUGCCCACUCAAGAGGAGGAAACACUUGAGAAUCCUUGAGUGUGGAAAGUCAGGAAACUGGGAGCCCCUGGGGUGCACCAUCAGAGAAGCCAAUGGCACCCCACUCCAGUCCUCUUGCCUGGAAAAUCCCAUGGAUGGAGGAGCCUGGUAAUUAAGAGCUGAUUGCUGGUAAUUAAGAGUUGUUGAGAGAGCCAGCAGGAUCCAAAAAGGAGACUCACACGUUUUUUGUCUGAAAGACUCCUGCUAUCUUGCCCCCCCCCUCUGCCUGCCCCCACCUGGUGGCUGAGCCCCCUUGGGGGCAUGGACCCCCAGAGAGCAAGUCCCAGCCUGUCAAGCGGAUUCUGCCUUCGGACUUCAUUCCCUGCUGUGGUUUCCAAGCCUUGAGAAAAGACAUGUAGGGGGGUGAAGUUCUAAAGUCCUGACCCUCAGGUGUGCUUUUCCCUAUUUCUCCCAAACUGCAGGCUUAGCUGGGCUCUUGAGCCCCUGUUUCUGCUGGUGGCGGGCAGCUUGAACUUGGCAAGUCCAGGCACAACUCACUUGGGUUGAGCUCGUGGUCACUUUGGGGACGAGUCUCUCUUGCCCUUUCUGCCCUGGUCUGAGUUGCAGGUUUGGGUUGCGGAGGGCUGGGUUGGGGAGGGCGGGAG